UAGGGAAUCUUCGGCAAUGGGGGGAACCCUGACCGAGCAACGCCGCGUGAGUGAAGAAGGUUUUCGGAUCGUAAAGCUCUGUUGUUAAGGAAGAACGAGUGUGAGAAUGGAAAGUUCAUGCUGUGACGGUACUUAACCAGAAAGGGACGGCUAACUACGUGCCAGCAGCCGCGGUAAUACGUAGGUCCCGAGCGUUGUCCGGUUUUAUUGGGCGUAAAGCGAGCGCAGGCGGUUAGAAAAGUCUGAAGUGAAAGGCAGUGGCUCAACCAUUGUAGGCUUUGGAAACUGUUUAACUUGAGUGCAGAAGGGGAGGGUGGAAUUCCAUGUGUAGCGGUGAAAUGCGUAGAUAUAUGGAGGAACACCGGUGGCGAAAGCGGCUCUCUGGUCUGUAACUGACGCUAAGGCUCGAAAGCGUGGGGAGCGAACAGG
rnacentral:rRNA from 1 species